rnacentral:miRNA from 1 species
AUAUUGAAUGAUAAGGGAU